UUGUGUUUUCUCACAUCUUUCUGAAUUAUUACUUUGCAUCGAGACAGAAGUUUAAUCUUUCCAUUCAACUAUAUGGUGAUGGAAGAGGCCAGUGGCUCCAGGGGCAGAAGAGGAGGCUGAUAUACCCUUGGGCAUGGGAGAAAUAUUAGGCUCAAGAGCAGAGGUACUGGAACCAGACUGCCUGAUCCGAAUUUAAUUCUGCUGCCAGCUCUAAUUAAGCAGAUGAUACUCUGUUCAUUGGAAUCAAGCAAAAGGAAAACUCGAAUAUUGAGAAAUUAUUCCAAAAAAGGAUACCUCCUAUUCUCCCAUAUACCCUAAGAGUAAGAGACAUCCCUGCCACGCAGCACAGAGAUUUAUAACUCUGAGCAAAGGUUUCAACAAAUACAAGUUCUUUACUCCAAAGUCCAUCUAUGUGUGCUCCCUGAAAUAA